rnacentral:misc_RNA from 1 species
UCGUGAGCAGGACAUCAAGCGCGGAAGCUGCCAGUUGCCAGCCAGCCUGCCAGCCAGCCAGCCAGCCAGUAGAUAUCCUGUGGCUGUAUCCUGUGCGCUGUCCAAGAAGCCAACCUCUGGCUCCUAACUUUCCCGGCCAAGGUGUGCGCGUGUGUUGGUGUGCGUAUCCGUACCCGUACCCGUGUGCUGGCCAAACAAAGGCCAUAUAGCGAACAAGCCAACUUUCAAGUGGCAGCCAAGUGUCGAAUAUAAACCAAUUAAAGCAGCAGCCGAAUUUUAAAAAUCAAAUCAUUUAAAACAAACGCUUUUUGCAAAAAAUUUCAUAACUUUUUGGGCUGGAAAAGGCAGCUGCAGCCGGCAAUGGCAAUAAUACCGCUUGUGAAUUAUGGCCAAAGUUAAUUAAAAGCCCAAAAAGAACGCCGGGACUUAAGUCCACAACAGGCCAGACAUAAAUCAAUUCGAGGAAACAAAGACGACAACAUGUAGAGCUGUAUUGUGAAUGGCCGAUCCCGAUGUCAAUGCCUGUUUACACGGCCAAUGAAAAAUGGCCAACAAUAUGGCCAAAGCACUGAGUACCUGCAGCACCUGCAGCCUGCACCCAAAAACGAUUCAAAGCGAAAUGACUUAAAGCGGCUUACGAAGAGCGAAGCCAGCCCACACCACGUAUACGCAACGUCCCGCCAGGCGGAUGCGUGAUUAAUUGCACUUUAAACAAACACUAAGCCAGGACUCAAAACAAUCCAAAAGGAACACCGGAAAGCCAUAAGAAAAAGCCGUCAAAAUGUUGCCAACCAACGUGAUGACAUUCAUGAAGAAGAUGGUGGCCACCGACGAACAGACCACCGGAGGGCAGCAGCAUGCAACGGACUCGGGGGCAGGAGCCUCCAACACGGGUGCCUUGAACAAGAUGAAGGCUACGCUGUCCUCGUCGCUGCUCACGGUCACAGACAAAGUUAAUAAAAUGUCGCCACGCCCCUCUCUGGUUCCGACGGAUGCGGACACCAGCGGCAGCUACGGCUCGCCCAGCUAUCAGCAGCAACAGCAGGACUCGGCAGCAGGCGGCACCCUCAACAACAACAACAACAGUGGCACGGCGGCAUCAGCAGCCGGGGGCGGAGGCGGUCCGGCGGCCAAGCAGGAGCCAGGUCGAAGGGCCGGAGCCUGCCGGGUGUGCCUGAAGUCCUUCAAGCCGGACGACUACCACAAGACGUGCUUCGAGUGCCAGCAGCGAGUGUGCGAGGACUGUGCCAGCUACAGUAAGCUGGACGAGCACGAGGAUGCGACCAUGUGGCGGUGCAGUGUGUGCCGGCGGAAGAUGGCCUCGCGGGUCUGCAUUCCGCAGGACUCCACGGACUCGAUGCUGGACGUCCCGGUGCUGGAGGCUCUGCAGCGACGCCACUCGGACGCCAAGCUGGGCAGCAGCACCCAGACCCUUGCCCCCAGCAAUGGCGCUGCCCUCGCACCCCCGCGGAGCCCAGAGCUGCGGCGGCAUUCGGAUGUUUCGCCUGCAUCGCUCAAGGAGUUAGAAAGGCAACUGAAAGGCGGCCGCAGCAUGGCGCCCAGCCGCUCAAACAGCCCGCCACGGGGCGAUGGCCAGGAGCCGCCAUUUGGAGCGCCCCUCUCCCGGAUGCAGUCACGCCGUGGGUCCCGGGUGGCGCGGCAGCACAGCUACGACGACGACAUGAAGACGGGACCUGUGAGCGGAAGCAUGGGCGGUGGAGGUCCGGCCCUGGGCUUGGGGGCAGAUGGAGCGGGUCUGGGCAUUCCGUCUAUGCCACGCAGGAAGUCCGCCUACGAUGUGUUCGCCCCCGGACUGAUGCAGGCCGGAGGAGCGGCACCUGCCACCCAGUUGCAAAGGUCGCCAGGGGAGGGCGGCAUUAUGCCGCCCAUCCAGCUGCCGGGUUCGCGGAGACCGUCUUUCCGGGUGCCACACGCCUCGGAGGACAUACAGAACGAUGACUCGCCGGGUUCGCCGGACAAGGGAAGUCCCGUGCUGACCGUCGACGAGGACCGGAGGAUGCGGCGACGCGGAUCACAGCUGCCCGACAUUGCCAUGCUGCAGAAUCGCGGUGCUCUGCCGUCAGCCCCCGUUGCUUCUAUUCCGCCGCCCAUGGCGGCGUUCACGGGCCCCAAUCUGGAGGAUUUGGAGGCGCCACGGCGCCAAACCUCAAUGGAUGGCGAGGCCAUUCGGAUCGUCAUACACGACGUUGAUUCGGGGCCGAUUUGUGCAUCUAAGCGGCGCAUUAUCCUGCGCCGGGAUCCCACGGACAAGGCGCACCGCACACGUGGCUUUGGAAUGCGCGUCGUCGGUGGAAAAACUGGAGCCGAUGGCAGACUUUUCGCCUAUAUUGUUUGGACGGUCCCGGGCGGAGCGGCCGAGAAGAAUGGCCUGCAGCAGGGCGACAAGAUUCUCGAGUGGAACGGCAUGUCUCUGAUCGACAGGAGCUUCGAGGAGGUCUGCUCCAUCAUGGACCGCACCGGGGACAUUGUGGAGCUUCUGGUGGAGCACGCCACGGACUUCCGCAUGUGCGACCUGUUCGACGAGAACCUGCCCCCGGGCAACGCCGGCGGACAGAGCGGACCCCGACGGUCGGGCGACGGGCCAGUGGGCCUCGGCCUCAUAGCGGAACCCGAAACCACCACAGACAAAUCACCAGCAUCGCCAACUAGACGGAAAUUACCAAAAACUCCGGAGCAAAUUGCCCGCGAGAAGCUGGUCACCGGCCGCGUCCAGAUCCAGGUCUGGUACCACGCCGAGCGGAACGAGCUGGUGGUCUCCCUGAUGGCCGGCGACGACCUGGCCCUGAGGGACGAAGCCUACGGCCACGGAAAUAUGCCGGAGGCCUAUGCCAAGGUCCGAAUUUUGCCCAAGUGUGGUGAUGGCAGCGUGCAACAAACGGAGGUCAGCCGACCCACCCAGAACCCCAUUUGGAACGCCACUUUGACCUUCGCCCAUGUGAAGGCCGACAGCUUGAUGGAUCGCUACAUAGACAUCCAGCUGUGGGACCUGGUGCCCCACACCGAAUCCAUCUUUCUGGGCGAGUGCAGCAUAGAGCUGCAGCAGGCCUUCCUGGACGACCAGGCCAUCUGGUGCCGGCUGGAGGACCCUAAGGGGCUGAGAGGCAUCAGCAUCAGCAAGUCGCCCAGCGUCUCGCCACGGGGAUCCAUCGCCGCCGGGGCCGGAGCUCCGUGUGGUGAUGUGUCCCGGCUGCUGAGACGCGACUACAACAUGCAGCGCUCCAUCUCCGAUGAUGUAGACUCCAUCGGAGAUGGUACCUCGCUGCUGCAUCCCGACCAUGCCUGGAUAGCUGGCUCGCGUCGGGGCUCCUCGCAGUCGGAGACCAUGGAAGUGGAGGUCUACCAGCUGGGCAAGGACUUCUCGCGCUCAUUGCCGGGCUCGCGUCGAUCGAGCUUCCAGGAUGCCGAGAAGAAUCGGCUGGAGGAGGACGCCAUGGCCACGCCGCCCACGUCUUAUUUGGUGGGCAGGCGCCGUUCGUCCGUGGCUCGACGCGAUCCGGAUGAGAUCUUGAAAUCCUUGAAGGCUGUGCGCGGCGAACUGGGCAGGACUAUGAGCCUGGGCACUGAGCAGCACAAGCGCAUGGGUUCGCGACCCACAAUAUCGGUGUCGCAUUAUCAAAGCUUUGACACACCCUACACAAACUGGAACAAACACUAAACUAGCAAAGAAAUGCAAAGUCCCAGCAAAGUCACACAAGAUUUAAUUAAAAGCAAAAUAAAUUCAACUUACGCAUAAAGCACUAAAUAACUAAAAACCACUUAUUUAAAGCCCUCAGAGCACCUAUCUACAUACAUAUAUAGUAUCUCUCAGUAAUCCCUUUGCUUAACCCAAUAAGGGGGAGCCACUCAUUCGUGAGUGAGCCACCAACCACACUGCACCACUAGCAUCAGUUACCACAAUACAGAAUACUGACAAACCAAAAAAAGAAAAAAAUAAAUCCGAAGAACGAAAACCUUUGUAAAUUAUACAAGAAAACCAAGUCAAGAAUCCCAACAAAUUGAGCUUAGCAGGCAAGCGCUUGUGCCAUGGCUAAAUAUUUAUUAAAUAAAGUAAAAUGCAACGAUACUACAACUACAACACUAUAAACUACACCUCCUAAAACUACAUCACCACUCACCACUGGUGCCAGUCGCGUCGGCCUGCCAAGCGGUCCCAACAGCCGUAAGAGCUCUAUCCUCGACCUGUCCCAGCAGCAUCA